rnacentral:rRNA from 1 species
WAACGACUCUCGGCAACGGAUAUCUCGGCUCUCGCAUCGAUGAAGAACGUAGCGAAAUGCGAUACUUGGUGUGAAUUGCAGAAUCCCGUGAACCAUCGAGUCUUUGAACGCAAGUUGCGCCCCAAGCCUUCUGGCCGAGGGCACGUCUGCCUGGGU